AAAAGAAACUAACAAGGAUUCCCCUAGUAACGGCGAGUGAAGAGGGAAGAGCUCAAAUUUGAAAUCUGGCGUGCUCAGCGCGUCCGAGUUGUAAUCUAUAGAGUCGUUUUCCGUGCCGGACCGUGUCCAAGUUCCUUGGAACAGGAUAUCAAAGAGGGUGACAAUCCCGUACUUGACACGACCACCGGUGCCCUGUGAUACGAUCUCAACGAGUCGAGUUGUUUGGGAAUGCAGCUCUAAACGGGUGGUGAGUUCCAUCUAAGGCUAAAUAUUGGCGAGAGACCGAUAGCGAACAAGUACCGUGAGGGAAAGAUGAAAAGCACUUUGGAAAGAGAGUUAAACAGUACGUGAAAUUGUUGAAAGGGAAACGAUUGAAGUCAGUCGUGUCCGGGAGGCUCAGCCGGCUCUGCCGGUGUAUUCCUCUCGGACGGGUCAACGUCAGUUCUGUCCGGCGGAUAAGGGCCGCGGGAAGGUGGCUUCCCCCCUCGGGGGGUCGCUUUAUAGACCGUGGUCACAUACGUUGGGUGGGACUGAGGACUGCAGCUCGCCUUCAUUGGCCGGGGUUCGCCCACGU
rnacentral:rRNA from 1 species